UCCUGAUGAUCUAUAACAAUGGUUAUUCACUAACAGCUGGCGCUUGUCUCCCUCGGACAAAGCCACUGGGAAGAGCAGGCUUUCUGAUUGGUGAACCAGAACCGUUUCCUUGGUAACCGUUAAGUAGCACGUGUUUUAUUGUCUCCAACUGCUUUUCCUAGGGUAUUUGCAGGUGGUGGGAGAUGCUUUCUUAAAAAGGGGUCAUAACCUCAUGAACUUUUAGAUGUUGCAACAAAUUGGGGAACAAAACAUAUUUUUCUUUCCCAAUAUAGUAAAUUUUAUUACAUAGAACUUUCAAGACAAAUGCCACCCAUUUUUCCCAUUAUUUCCCAGAUGUUAUCAAUUUUAAAGUCAGAGUUUCAUUUUAAAAUCAUGACCUAUAGGAAGUUAAUAUUAAUUGUCUGCAUGUUCUGAGAAUAUUACUUUUUUACGGGAAGAGAACAUGAUGUCCUGAGUAUAUACUUUGCCAUGAAAUGUGAGGUAAACCAUAUAAUGUGAGUAUAAUUUUUAGUAGGGCUUGAAAAAUUUGUAUCUUUUACCUCUUCAUUAACCAGUGAUUUUUUUUCUAUAUUGCUAGUUUCUGUAUUCAUUCAGAAUGUUCUAGAACACAUACAAUGUUGCUAUAAACAAAAUGACUGGCUCAACUACAAGAAUCUCCCCCAACAUUUAUUUGACUUCUUUUUGGAAGGUCUGCCUAAUUUCCAGAUGGAGAGCUCCCUCUUCUGUUUGGUUUGCAGAAUUUGGGUCUUUUGAAAACAUGGUACGCGGAUGCAGAAUUUUGUCACUGAAUAUUCUACCUAGGCUGAAGCUGAAUGGAGUUGCUGCUGGCAAAAAGGGACUGUUGCCUUCCUGUCAGCUGUGGACUUUUUUCUCAAGUUUAUGGUCGUAGAUGGAAUUUCAAAAGUACAUUUUUCCCAUAGUCACAAUGAGAAGAAACCCUUGAAAAAGGAACUCCUCAAAAGUGAAAAGUAAAGUUUGAUUCAUGCAGCAACGUUUACUGAGCACCUGCCCUCAGAUGAAAUCAUGGAAACACUGAAUGGGGCUUUAAAAGUUCUUCGUUUUUCAAUUUAAAAAUUUUCUAGCAUUCACUUUAAAAGUGUAUGUGGAAAAGGAAAGUCUUUGAAAAUGAAAACUUUUCUAUUUUGUCCUCAAAGUAAUUAAGUACACUAAACGUCAUAAUAUCUAAUCAUUUCCCCAAAUAACACUUUUUAAGUCAUGGGCUAAAUAUUUGUGGAGGAAAUGUGACCUGCUACUAGGAACAAACUAGCGAAUUUGAUUGCUCAGGCCAACAUCACAAGACACAGGCAAACCACCCCUCUGUUAGCUACCAAAAGUAGCAACUGAAAAAAAGAUUUGUAAUGUUAUGGGGUGAAAUUCUGCCUGGUCAUUUUUGAAGUUCUACUUUAAUAUUUCAGUUUAAACUUUCUUCAUCCUUUUGAAAUAAUAGUCAUGGGUUUUGGUUUAAUUAUAGGAGGCAUGGAAUAAUUAACAUAAGCAUUGAAAUAUGAACAUCGACUUCAUCAAGAUUGCUACCUUGCCUUUAAUUUUUUUCAUGAAAAAGCCUGGGCUUAUACAUCUAUCAACAAGCUUUUAAAAUAUAAUCCCAGAAGAUCAACAAAGUGUUGAAAUCACAAAGCACAGAUAACAGAAAACAGUGGACUUACCGA
rnacentral:sRNA from 1 species